rnacentral:misc_RNA from 1 species
GUUAACUUGAGUAUGGUAAUGUGUGUUUUAACUUUAAAGUAAUUCAUUAAAUUAGCCUUUAGGUAGAAACAAAGUGGCGUAGAAAAAUUAUUUCAGCAACUCAGGGAUAUACUAUUAUUGCUAAAGUAAUGCCACCAAAUUUACGGAAGCCAUGUGCACAUUGUAUUUUGUGUGUUAAACUUUUCAAGUGGUUUCCAGUUGUUUUCAUUACUGCCAUUAUCGCUUGGUCGUACUACGCCUACGUGAUUCAGUUAUGUUUCCUUACAGUUGACAGUAUAGCAGAGAAGGUGGUGUACUUAUUUCUGUAUCAUAUCUUUCUUGCUAUGUUGGUGUGGUCUUAUUGGCAGACUAUUUUUACAGAUAUAUACACUGUUCCAAAAGAGUUUCAAAUUCCAUCUUCUGAUAUGGAAAAACUCUUAAAAGAAUCCAAUGAGGAAUGUCAACGUAUCAUUUUAGAAAAUGUUUCCAAAGACUUGCAUGUACCUGUAGCUUGUCGAACUUUCAGUGGUUGUGUUAGAUUUUGUGAUAAAUGUCACCAUAUUAAACCUGAUAGAGCACAUCAUUGUUCAGUGUGUGGAGUGUGUGUUUUGAAAAUGGAUCAUCACUGUCCAUGGGUGAACAACUGUGUAUCAUUUUCAAACUACAAGUUUUUCAUCCUUUUCUUAGGAUAUGCUUUGAUUUACUGUGUAUUUAUUGCUGCUACUUCAUUGCAAUACUUUAUCCAGUUCUGGAAGAACAAUUUGGAAGGAUUUGGGAGAUUCCAUAUAUUAUUCCUGUUUUUUGUUGCUAUUAUGUUUGCUAUUAGCUUGAUCUCAUUAUUUGGUUAUCACUGCUACUUAGUGAGUGUGAAUAGGUCAACAUUAGAAUCUUUUAGGGCUCCGGUAUUCAGAACAGGACCUGAUAAGGAUGGAUUCAGUUUAGGAAAAUAUGCCAACUUUGCUGAAAUAUUUGGAGAUGAUAAAAGGAAGUGGUUUCUUCCACUAUUUACAAGCUUGGGAGAUGGUGUAAACUUUCCAACUCAUACUCAGCCAGGUAGUUCUUACAAUUCAAUGGGUUCCACAACUCAAACAAGGUAUUAUAUUUAUUCUUGCUAUCAGCUUAGGGGAACAAGCUAAUUCUUACAAGACAGCCAAUGAAGACUCAAAUGGUCUUUUGACUCAACAACAUCCUGGCUGGGGUGAUCAAACAUUGCGAGGAGACUCAACGGCUUCUCAAGAUGAAGUAUCUGAAUCGAGAGCAAGUGUUGCUUCGGAUGUUCACCUUCUUCCUUAGUAGAAGUUCUUAUCUCAUUCUUCUCCAACUUCGGCUUCUAAUAGCUUCAU